rnacentral:rRNA from 1 species
CCUACGGGUGGCUGCAGUCGAGAAUCUUCGGCAAUGGGCGAAAGCCUGACCGAGCAAUGCCGCGUGCGGGAUGAAGGCCCUCGGGUUGUAAACCGCGAAAGUAAGGAGGAAGGACCUGCGAAGAGCAGGUUUUGACCGAUCUACAGUAAGGACGGGCUAAGUUCGUGCCAGCAGCCGCGGUAACACGAACCGUCCAAACGUUAUUCGGAAUUAUUGGGCUUAAAGGGUGCGUAGGCGGCGCUUUAAGUCGGGUGUGAAAUCCUUCGGCUCAACCGAAGAAUUGCGCCCGAUACUGGAGUGCUAGAGGGAGACAGGGGUGAGCGGAACUGAUGGUGGAGCGGUGAAAUGCGUUGAUAUCAUCAGGAACACCGGUGGCGAAAGCGGCUCACUGGGUCUCUUCUGACGCUGAGGCACGAAAGCCAGGGUAGCGAACGGGAUUA